rnacentral:rRNA from 1 species
AUUGAACGCUGGCGGCAGGCCUAACACAUGCAAGUCGAGCGGAUGAAGGGAGCUUGCUCCUGGAUUCAGCGGCGGACGGGUGAGUAAUGCCUAGGAAUCUGCCUGGUAGUGGGGGAUAACGUCCGGAAACGGGCGCUAAUACCGCAUACGUCCUGAGGGAGAAAGUGGGGGAGCUUCGGACCUCACGCUAUCAGAUGAGCCUAGGUCGGAUUAGCUAGUUGGUGGGGUAAAGGCCUACCAAGGCGACGAUCCGUAACUGGUCUGAGAGGAUGAUCAGUCACACGGGAACUGGGACACGGUCCAGACUCCUACGGUAGGCAGCAGUGGGGAAUAUUGGACAAUGGGCGAAAGCCUGAUCCAGCCAUGCCGCGUGUGUGAAGAAGGUCUUCGGAUUGUAAAGCACUUUAAGUUGGGAGGAAGGGCAGUAAGUUAAUACCUUGCUGUUUUGACGUUACCAACAGAAUAAGCACCGGCUAACUUCGUG